rnacentral:rRNA from 1 species
UGGGGAAUAUUGCACAAUGGGCGAAAGCCUGAUGCAGCGACGCCGCGUGGAGGAUGACGGCCUUCGGGUUGUAAACUCCUUUCAGUAGGGACGAAGCGAAAGUGACGGUACCUAUAGAAGAAGCACCGGCCAACUACGUGCCAGCAGCCGCGGUAAUACGUAGGGUGCAAGCGUUGUCCGGAAUUACUGGGCGUAAAGAGCUCGUAGGCGGUUUGUCGCGUCGUCUGUGAAAACCAGCAGCUCAACUGUUGGCUUGCAGGCGAUACGGGCAGACUUGAGUAUUUCAGGGGAGACUGGAAUUCCUGGUGUAGCGGUGAAAUGCGCAGAUAUCAGGAGGAACACCGGUGGCGAAGGCGGGUCUCUGGGAAAUAACUGACGCUGAGGAGCGAAAGCGUGGGUAGCGAACA